AUACUUACCUGGACAGGGUCAAUGGGUGAUCAAAGAGGCCCAUGGCCUAGGUUGACGGCCUCCAUUGCACUUUGUGAGGGGUGUCAUCCUAAGGUCUCCCUAAAUUGGGAGAGCCUAUGUCAUAAUUUGUGUUAGUGUGGGGGUUUGCGUUCGCGCAGCCCCUAC